GAUGAGAACGUAGCGAAAUGCGAUAAGUAAUGUGAAUUGCAGAAUUCAGUGAAUCAUCGAAUCUUUGAACGCACCUUGCGCCCUUUGGCUAUUCCGAAGGGCAUGCCUGUUUGAGUAUCAUGAACACCUCAACUCUCAUGGUUUGCCAUGAUGAGCUUGGACUCUGGGGGUCUUGCUGGCCUAUGGUCAGCUCCUCUCAAAUAAAUCAGCUUGCCAGUGUUUGGUGGCAUCACAGGUGUGAUAACUAUCUACGCUUGUGGUUUUCCAUCAGGUAACCUUCAGUGAUGGAGGUUCGCUGGAGCUCAUAAAUGUCCCUCCUCAGCGAGGACAGCUUUUUGAACGUUUGAUCUCAAAUCAGGUAGGACUACCCGCUGAACUUAAGCAUAUCAAUAAGCGGAGGA
rnacentral:misc_RNA from 1 species